AGACGUCUACAUUAGAUACCCGGGUAGUCCCAGCCGUAAACUAUGCGCGUUAGGUGUAUCGGUGACCACGAGUCACCGAGGUGCCGAAGGGAAACCGUGAAACGUGCCGCCUGGGAAGCGCGGUCGCAAGGCUGAAACUUAAAGGAAUUGGCGGGGGAGCACCACAACGGGUGGAGUCUGCGGUUUAAUUGGACUCAACGCCGGGAAGCUCACCGGAUAAGACAGCGGAAUGAUUGCCGGGCUGAAGACUCUACAUGACUAGCUG
rnacentral:rRNA from 1 species